rnacentral:rRNA from 1 species
GACGAACGCUGGCGGCGUGCUUAACACAUGCAAGUCGAACGGAAAGGCCCCAUUGGGGUUCCUCGAGGGGCGAACGGGGGCGUAACACGGGAGUAACCUGCCCUUUACUUCGGUAUAACGUCAGGAAACUGGGGCUAAUACCGGUUAGGAAUCCUUGCUGCAUGGGGGGGGUGGGGAAGCUCCGGCGGUUUUGGGUGGACUCGCGGCUUAUUGGCGUGUUGGUGGGGUAGUGGCUUACCAAGGCAUUGACGGGUAGCCGGCCUGAGAGGGCGAGCGGCCACCCUGGGACUUAGGUACGGCCCCGACUCCUACGGGAGGCAGAAGGGGGGAAUCUUGAUCCAUCGGCGGCGGCCUGGUGCAGCAACGCCGCGUGCGGGAUGGCGGCCUUCGGGUUGUAAACCGCUUUCAGCAGGGGCGACGCUUGUGGUGACGGUACCUGCAGAAGAAGCACCGGCUAACUACGUG